UCAAAACUACUCAAUUCAGUUUUUACUCAUAAAAAGAUGAAUAGAUAUUAAAAUUGACAUUAGUUUUCAUUUAUAUUACAAUGACAAAAAUAUUGGCCGAAACUGAUUUGCUGCGCAUAGGAAAAAACCACCAUGAUCACUCAAGUCCAUUGAAACUUCCCAACACCAAAUGAAGGAAUAUUACCACAAACUCUCCGUUUUCUUGCCGCCGGUAAUUAUCAAAGAUGCAUUUUAAAUGAUUUUAGCUUUGAACUGGAGCAACCUAAGAUAGCUAUAGUUGCUAAAAAACCUGCUUUUAAAUAUUAUAAACAGUGAAUUGGUGCGCUGUGGAUAAAAAACAAAUGACUGAAGAGGAGCGAAACGUAUCAAAAAUUUGAUUUUACUUAAAGAGUACUAUAUUCUUAAUACCACAAAAAAGUUGAAGUUUGACAACACUUCAAACGAUUUUUUUUUACUGAUUGAGUUGAUAUCGUUAAUUCCAAAUGCAGUUGAGUUGAAAAUCGUAAUAGGAGCCUAAAUUUAAUUGGCCUCUAAGGUUUAUUUGUAUGUACAAAUUUUUCCAAAUGCGAAUUGAAAUAAAAGCCAAUGGUUUGAUAAUAAUAAA